rnacentral:rRNA from 1 species
GCAAGUCGAACGGACUGAUUCCCUUCGGGGAUGAAGUUAGUGGCGAACGGGUGAGUAAUAUAUGAACAAUCUGCCUCUAAUACAGGGAUAACACUUAGAAAUAGGUGCUAAUACCUGAUAAGACCACACUGUCGCAUGGCAGAGUGGUAAAAGCUCCGGCGAUUAGAGAUGAGUUCAUAUCCCAUUAGCUAGUUGGUGAGAUAACAGCCCACCAAGGCCACGAUGGGUAGCCGACUUGAGAGAGUGAUC